AUUGAACGCUGGCGGCAUGCUUUACACAUGCAAGUCGAACGGUAACAGGCCUUCGGGUGCUGACGAGUAGCGAACGGGUUAGUAAUGCAUCGGAACGUACCCAGAGGUGGGGGAUAACGCAGCGAAAGCUGUGCUAAUACCGCAUGUGAUCUGAGGAUGAAAGCGGGGGACCGAGCAGCAAUGUUUGGCCUCGCGCCUUUGGAGCGGCCGAUGUCGGAUUAGCUAGUUGGUGGGGUAAAGGCCUACCAAGGCGACGAUCCGUAGCUGGUCUGAGAGGACGACCAGCCACACUGGGACUGAGACACGGCCCAGACUCCUACGGGAGGCAGCAGUGGGGAAUUUUGGACAAUGGGCGCAAGCCUGAUCCAGCAAUGCCGCGUGCGGGAAGAAGGCCUUCGGGUUGUAAACCGCUUUUGGCAGGAACGAAACGGUGUCCGCUAAUACCGGGCGCUAAUGACGGUACCUGCAGAAUAAGCACCGGCUAACUACGUG
rnacentral:rRNA from 1 species